GACGAACGCUGGCGGCGUGCUUAACACAUGCAAGUCGAACGAAGUGGCGAACGGGUGAGUAACGCGUACUCAACCUGCCCUUCAGAGGGGGACAACAGUUGGAAACGACUGCUAAUACCGCAUACUGAAGGAGGGGCUUGAGGCUGAUUGGGUAGUUGGAGGGGUAACGGCCCACCAAGGCGAUGAUCAGUAGCCGGGCUGGGAGGAUGAACGGCCAAAUUGGGACUGGUACACGGCCCAGACUCCUACGGGAUGCAGCAGUGGGGAAUCUUCCGCAAUGGACGAAAGUCUGACGGAGCAACGCCGCGUGAGUGAUGACGGCCUUCGGGUUGUAAAGCUCUGUUAAUCGGGACGCGGUACCGGAAUAGAAAGCCACGGCUAACUACGUGCCAGCAGCCGCGGUAAUUC
rnacentral:rRNA from 1 species